rnacentral:rRNA from 1 species
AUUGAACGCUGGCGGCAGGCCUAACACAUGCAAGUCGAGCGAGCGGCGGACGGGUGAGUAAUGUAUGGGGACUGCCCGAUAGAGGGGGAUAACUACUGGAAACGGUGGCUAAUACCGCAUACUAUCGGAUAACCCAUAUGGGAUUAGCUAGUAGGUGGGGUAAAGGCUCACCUAGGCGACGAUCCCUAGCUGGUCUGAGAGGGUGAUCGGCCACACUGGGACUGAGACACGGCCCAGACUCCUACGGAGGCAGCAGUGGGGAAUAUUCGGCAAUGGGCGCAAGCCUGAUGCAGCCAUGCCGCGUGUGUGAAGAAGGCCUUAGGGUUGUAAAAUACUGUCGUCGGGGAAGCGUUAUCCACAGAGAAAGCCCCGGCUAACUCCGUGCCAGCAGCCGCGGUAAUAC